rnacentral:rRNA from 1 species
UAUCUCUGUAGAGUCUGCAUAUCAAUAAGCGGAGGAAAAGAAACUAACAAGGAUUCCCUAGUAACGGCGAGUGAAGCGGGAAGAGCUCAAAUUUGAAGUCUUCAAGGUUUUACCUUGACGAAUUGUAGUUUAAAGAAGUGUUUUCUGUUAGAGAGUUCGGUAAAAGUUCUUUGGAAUAGGACAUCAUAGAGGGUGAGAAUCCCGUAUUUGACCAGUUCUUUCUAGCUGUGUGAUACACUUUCAAAGAGUCGGAUUGUUUGGGAAUGCAGUCCAAAAUGGGUGGUAAAUUUCAUCUAAAGCUAAAUAUUGGCGAGAGACCGAUAGCGAACAAGUACCGUGAGGGAAAGAUGAAAAGAACUUUGAAAAGAGAGUUAAACAGUACGUGAAAUUGUCAAAAGGGAAGCGUUUGACACCAGUGUUGUUUCUACGAAAAUCAAUUUAUGAUGGCUUGAUGCUAAGCUUUAAGACUUUACCCGCUUGUUGUUUAGUUUUCUUGUCUUUGUGAAUGCACUUUUCGUGGAACAAGUCAACACCAAUUUCUUUUGCUGUAAAAGGGUAAGAGGAAGGUGGCUUCGGCUUCGGUUGAAGUGUUUAUAGCCUUUUAUCUCUGCAGUCGGAGAGAUUGAGGUCUGCAGCGUAGACUCUUCGGGGUUAGAGACGUCGGUGCUAAGCUAUAGCUUUUCAUAGACAACUUGUUGACUAUGUUUAGUCAUGUGGCUUACCCGCUGGCGCUAUUUUACCUACGCUUAGGAUGUUGAUCUACAGAGCGAGAGU